GACGAACGCUGGCGGCGUGCUUAACACAUGCAAGUCGAACGGUAAGGCCCUUCGGGGUACACGAGUGGCGAACGGGUGAGUAACACGUGGGUGAUCUGCCCUGCACUUCGGGAUAAGCCUGGGAAACUGGGUCUAAUACCGGAUAGGACCACUGCCUGCAUGGGUGGUGGUGGAAAGCUUUUGCGGUGUGGGAUGGGGCCGCGGCCUAUCAGCUUGUUGGUGGGGUGAUGGCCUACCAAGGCGACGACGGGUAGCCGGCCUGGGAGGGUGACCGGCCAGACUGGGACUGAUAUACGGCACAGACUCCUGCUGGAGGCAGCAGUGGGGAAUAUUGCACAAUGGGCGCAAGCCUGAUGCAGCGACGCCGCGUGAGGGAUGACGGCCUUCAGUUUGUAAACCUCUUUCAGCACCGACGAAGCGCAAGUGACGGUAGGUGCAGAAGAAGGACCGGCCAACUACGUGCCAGCAGCCGCCGUAACAC
rnacentral:rRNA from 1 species